UGCAGAAGCUCUGUGUGGGGGAAAAGUCGUUUGUGGAGAGAACUGUGUCUAAUGUCUUUGCCUAGUAAAGACUCUUACAAGAAACUUGCCUGGCCUGGCUCAUUUACUGUUCUAUGCGACACUUGGAUUUCUUCCUUGUAUGAUCUCUAUACGCACGCACCGACAAUACACAGAUCCGCAAUAACUGAGAUAUGUUUUAUUCAGGACGCUUAUCCGCAACUUUGAAUUUGGAAUUGUCACUUGGGGAAACAGAAAUAAUGGAUAACCACUGCAUUCCUAAUAGUGACCUAAGCUAUAUAAUUACUUGGAAGAAGCCCGGGAAGUCUGCUCCUGUGAUUGGUGGGCAACAUACAUGUGACUCACACGGGCCUUCUGCUGAGCUUGAAUCUGUGUGAGGAACCCAGAGAGAGAGAGAGAGAGAGAAAAUGGCUGAAAAUGGAGGGAGAAAGCAGCAGCAGCAGAUGGGAGGACGAUUCCUUAUUCUCCUUUCUCUCUCCCCAACUUUACUUUCUUCUUCCUUUUAAAGAAGCAUAAGCCUCUUCUGUCAACUUGGAAGCUCUUACUGUCAGAGGCAGAAAGAAAGCACCUCACAGAGUAGGAGGACUGUCAUAUGGCAAUAGAGUCGGCUGUCAACCCGUAAAAAGUACUGCCACUCAGUGUCAAAGCAGUACUAACAAAACAAUUAUUCUUUAAAAAAUCAUGACGUCCAAGCUAUGCAGACAACAGUAACAUUAAAAUAACGAUCCAGCUAUUUAGACCUAGGGGAAGGGCCAUAGCCCAGUGGCAGAGUAUAUGCUUUGCAUGCAAAAGGUCCCAAGUUCAAUCCUGAUGCAACCAGGUAGAAUUGAGAAAGACUCCUGCCUGAAACCGUGGAGUCUCUGCCAGUCAGUGAUGAUAAUACUGAGCUACAUGGACCAAUGAUCUGACUUAGUAUAAAGCAACUUGGUAUAAGGCAUGACUAUGAACUACUGCCAAAGUGUAAAGCACUGACGUUUUUGGAACCCACAUACUCCUGAGAUCCCAAAAUUACUCUCAUUCGAUAUUUAUCUUUGGAAACUAGGGAUGGAAGGAUCUGUCAAUUUCAGUUUUUUCAGAUUUGUCAUUCUUCCAGUCUUAAAUUCAGUUCUCCACAGUUCUGCAGCAAUUUGCAAAUUUUGCUUUUAAAAGUCCUCAUGAAAAUUCUUCAAAGUUUUAGUGUGAUUUUCUCCUGAUAAACACAUUUUCAAAUGCAAUUUUGACUAAUAUACACAUUUUUGUCAGCAAUUUCU